rnacentral:rRNA from 1 species
AUGGUUUCACAGACGUCAACGCUGUCUGGCGAGCGUGGCUCGCCGCGCUCGCCACGUGCCACGAUUGUCGCGCAUCCGAGGCGCACUCCACAGAAGGAGCCUGCCCCAAGGAGACUUUCUGUGUGGCAGAGGAUAGAGGAGGGCCCUGCUGCUGCUACACGGCCGCCGCCACCGCCACCGCCAAAGGCCUUGCAUAUUUCACCAGCCAAGUCGAGCACUGCCGGCUCUGCUUCAAAGGGAUUGGCCAGCGUGAUCUCUGUGGACUGCAAGGCAAAAAGUGCUGGUAGUAAUGAGGGUGACAGCACUAAAGUAAUACAGAAGGAUGCUGGAAAGAAUGUUAGGAAGGUGUUGUCCUCAGUUCUUGUGAAACCUUCACCGGAGUCCAAGGAAAAAGAAGGGGAUGUUGAGAAGCUUCCUGGGAAGCAUGUUCAGGAGAAUGUGUCAGGUUCCCCUAGUGAAAGUUUGGGCUUAGCUGGUCGUCCUGUGGCUGGUGUGAAGAAAGUGAAGAAGAUAGUUAUCAAGAAGAUUGUGAGGAGGAUUGUUGGCAAGGAUAAACAAAUUAGUAGAGAAAUUGUAUCUGAGAAGAGGGAUAAUAUUGAUGCUAUUGCAAAUUCCUCUGAAAAAGAAGAGGGUGAAAUCAUAACCUCAUCGCUGGAAAAGGAUACUGUAUCUGAACAUAAUAUGGUAAGCACUAGUGGUACAGCUGGAGCUGGUAAUGGUCUGAAUGUCCAGAAGGGUGAAAAUAGCAACUCGAUAAAUCCACGUAAAAGGAAAGCCACUUCAGCCAUCGAGUCCAAGAAAAUUCUUGAUUCAACAAAUCGUAGUGGGAGUAAGCACCUUGGAAAGGAAGAGAAUAGAAGCUCCAUGGGUCGAGGUGAUAUUAUUGCUGCUUCAGCCAUUAAAUCUACAGAAGCACUUGCUACAAGACGAAGUGAGCAUCCUGGGAAAGGAGAUAGGAGCUCCAUGGAUUCAGGUGUUAGGAGUGCAACUUUGGUGUCUACGUAUGAUAAUUAUCAGGAGGAGGGUGAAAUCAUGUCUCUUUCAGGUGAAACGAGUGCUGCAGUUGCAAGUAAUCCUCUGAGAAUUUCUCAUAGGCGGACAGAAUCUAGCAUGAAAGAGAGCAAAGCUCCUAAGAAUGUCAGUAAAAAAAACACUGUUUGCACAAAUGGAGUUACUGUAAAUCAUGAUACGGCAGAAAUUGCUGGAGGUGAGGAUGCUAGGAGGGAAGACAAUGACAUCUUGAUUAACACAAGCGAAGAGGAUGUUCGCCGUGUAAGUAGUACACCAGAAGUUACUAUAUGCAAGAGAAAGGGUGCUCAGAAAGGCGAGGGUAUGAUUCUGACUGGUUUAGGUGAAAAUAGUAUUGGUAAUGUUUCGGUGGCACACCAUGUGAAGGUUUCUAAUACAAGGGAACUCGAUGUGAAUGAGGAUACCAGGACCAAAGAGAGCCAAAUCCCCAUAGAAUUAUGUCAAACUAACACUUCAAAAACAAUACACCUCUUGGAAGCUCCUAAUACAUCAGAAACUACUAUGAGCAAGUUUGUCAUGGGGUCAACUGAAAGACAUGCUACCACCACCUGUAAUUCUGGGAGCACUCCAGAAUUUAAUUUAGCUGGUGGAUUCGGCAAUAGCCACAAGGAAGAUCUUCUCAAUGACGGAACUGCUUUCAAUGAAACAGAUGCUCCCCUGGAAGUUGAAGGUAGAGAUUUCUUUAAUCUGUCAUGUUCCAGAAAUGUUGAAAGCAUGAAUGUGCCACCAUUAGACGCUGAUCUUAUGGAGGAUUUAACCCGGGGUAUUGUUUUGAAUAAUGGUAUAGAAAGGGGUGCUACAGCUCAGGUAGCAGAACUGAUAAAUCUUCAUAGAGGUCAUCUGUCUCCCGAGAUUGAUUUUCCCUUGGCACAUUCCCGUGAAUCUUCAUCUGUAUCUGGUAACAGCGAGCAGUCUGUUCCUACAACUUUGACACUUGGCAGUAAUUUCUAUUUCAGUAAUAACAUUGAAAGUGAGCGACAGCUCAAGGAAAACAAUGAGCUGCUGGAAGGGCAGAAAGGAUUAGAUGUUUCCACAGUGACAGAAUUUGAUAGUCUUGUAAAACAAAAAGGUGUGGCUGAUGAUGACUCAGUUGGUGUAGGUUCUCAAAAUUGGCUGACUUUACCGCCAGCGGUCAACAGCAUUGCUAUGUCUGAGCAGUUUGUGACUAACGAUGCUACUGUUAGGAAAGAUAGGAUAGGUUUGGAUCAGAGCGUGGAUAAUGACACUUCUGUUAGUCAGGAUCAUGAUACUGCACAAGGUUUGGAGCAGUGUGGAAGUGUGGAUGCUUUCUCUAGUCAGGUUAACAGCAUUAGGCUAUCUGUAUCUGGUAGUGAUAUGCCUCAGUCAGACUCAUUGACACCCGAGAUCAGUGGCAAUGUUGAGAAACAUGGCGAGAUAAUUCUCUCGGGUUUGCACUCUAUUAGUUCAAUAAAUGUUGUAGAUCAACAUGAUCAUCAAAUGGUGGAUAUUUCUGUGGGCAACCCAACUGAACCUGCUAUUAUCCCAGCUGUAGAAUCUAUUGAUGUGAUGGAUGCAGAGCUAGUUUCUCCUCAGGUAUCUGUUGAGCUGGAUAAUACCUAUGACAGUAAUAAAGGAAUCAGUGGUGAUGUUGAGAAACAUGUGGAGGUAGUUCUCUCUGGUUUGCACUCUAUUAGUUCAAUAAAUGUUGUUGAUCAACAUGAUCAUCAGAUGGUGGAUAAUCCUGUGGGUAACCCAAUUGAACCUGCUAUCCCAGCUGUGGAAUCUACCGAUGUGAUGGAUACAACGCUUUCUCCUCAGGUAUCUGUUGAGCCAGAUAAUAAUACCUAUAACAGUAAUACUGAAGGUUCUGUGGUUAACUCAAGCACAAAGCGAGAUUUGUUGUCUUCUUGGAUUGAAUCCGUUGUGUCAGAAGCUAAAAAGGAUCAUCAACCAUGCAAAUCUACUUUACCUUCUAUUAGUUUGCCAGUCUUAGCACCAAAGGAGGAUAGCAGGAGAGCAGGAUUGGACUCGGUUGGUAACCCUGUGGGGAAGUCUCCUCAGAUGAAUUGUACAAGCUCUAUGCCUCCCAAGGUAGCUCCUAAACAGGCGAAUUUGCCCAGUUCAUCCCGAGAGCCUCCUCGUGUAAGUUCAAAUCCAAGGCACAAGACAUGGUAUCGUGGUGACUUGACAUCUUCUACAUCUUUGCCCAGUUCACAGCCUUCAGGAUUACCGCCUAAACAACCACCGAGGAGGAAUGACAAAACUCAAAACUCUUAUAUACGCAAGGGUAACGCCCUUAUUAGAAAUCCAGCAACAGGAAAACUCUCCCAUUCUUCUAGUCUGGAUACUCAGAAUAAGUUGAAUAAGCCUGUGAUUAGGAGAAGCAUGAACUUUGUCAGGAAAGUUGAUUCAAAUGAUUCUGCAGCACGUUCGAACUUUACAGUUGAAAGACCUAAGACUCCUCCUUUACCACUUCAUGCCAAGUCCAUCAAUUCAACCACAAACCUUCCAGAGCAGUUGUCUAAAACUUUGCCCAAGCAGCAUGUUCCUGAAACUGAAAAAGAAGAUUCGGCUAAGCAAUUGAACUCAGGUGUUGAUACCCCAAGCAUUAGAAGUGCACAAACACCUGAACCCUCAGAUGCUAGUAAAGUGGUUUAUGUUAGACCGAAAUCAAAUCAAUUGGUUGCCGCACAGAGGCAGCACCCUGAUGACCCAACUAAAAGUUCUACAGAUAAGGUUUUAUCACUGCAGCCACCCACAGCCUCUGAUUUAUAUUUCAAGAAGCGGAAAAAUCAGAUUGUUUUGAGUUCAUCUUCCUCUGAUGGUCAGAAUACAAAAGAGAUUGCUACUGCUGAGAGCUUAAAUUCAGGUGAGAAUAAUGUACAAGUUGCAUCCUCGAACAACAGUAUCAAUGGUUUAAAGGAGAGACCACAUAAAGCUCUUCGGACAAAUAAUAUGGGAACUUCCUCUCACGUGUGGACACUCAGUGGGCAACAACCACAGAGGAAAGGAUCUGUGGGAACUAGUUAUGCGAAGGCUUUCCCACGUAUUCUUCCAUGGAAAAGAAAAAUAUACUACAAGAAUUUUAGAAGCAGUCACACUCAGAAUGUGAGCUCCUUACGAAUAGUCAGAAAACUAUUACAAACCAAGAAGAGAGAUAUGAUUUAUACUGUCUCAACUAAUGGAUUCUCUAUACGAAAAUCUGGCGUGUUAAGUGUUGGUGGAUCAAGUUUGAAAUGGUCACGAUCUCUUGAGAAGCGUUCUCAAAAGGUUAACGAGGAGGCUACAUUGGCAGUUGCUGACGUUGAAAAAAAGAGAGGAGAAAAACGGAAACGGCAAUAUCUCCAUUAUACUGGAAGAAAUGAUCAAUACUCUUUAUCUGUUGCCGGCAAUCAGUUAAGAAACAACAAUCAAGCAUCUUCAGAUUUGAGGAGGUCAUCAACUUGCAAUGGAUAUGUGCGUGUUAGCAAAGGUAACCAACUGGUUAGAAACCCCAAAAAAGUAACUCGCAUGCUAGCAAAUGAGAAAGUUCGAUGGAGUUUGCACACUGUUAGAUCACGCCUGGCAAAGAAACGACAGUACUGUCAAUUCUUCACUCGGUUUGGCGAGUGCAAGAAGCCUAAGGGCGAGUGUCGCUAUAUUCAUGACCCUGCUAAAGUGACUAUUUGCACUAAAUUUCUUAAAGGCCUGUGUUCUGAUACUAGCUGUAAACUCACUCACAAGGUCCUCCCGGAAAGAAUGCAAGAUUGUUCUUAUUUUCUGAAAGGUCUCUGUACCAACACAGCUUGUCCCUAUAGGCAUGUGAAAGUGAACUCUAAGGCUCCUGCCUGUGAAGAUUUUCUAAAGGGAUACUGUGCAGAUGGUGAUGAGUGUCGUAAAAAGCACAGCUACGCAUGCCCAGUCUUUGAGGCAACAGGAGAGUGCCCACAACAAUCUACGUGCAAACUUCAUCACCCCACCAAGAAGACAAUCAAAUCUAAGAGAAGCAGACCAGACACCCCCCAAAACAGUAGCUGGGGACGGUAUUUUGACACCAGCAUUAGACAUGACAGCGAGACAAGCAAAGUUUCUUCAGGCCAAGAUGACAGACAGAAACAGCAACAUGAUAUUUUCUCAGGUGGGGACUUCACUGACUUUAUCACACUUGACAUUGAUGGUGAAGAAGGCGCAUCAGCGCUGGACAGCAUACAGAGUGUUGAUGUGCCGGACAGUAUACAGAGUGUUGAUGGGCCAGGCAGCAUACCGAGUGUUGAUGCGCCGGACAGCAUACAGCUGAUGGAACUGGACUCAGGGGAACUCGGCAGGGAGGCUGAUGAUCUUGAUGCACUAAUCAAACCUCUUCGGAUCAUGAGAACGGCAAGAGUGUGA